rnacentral:rRNA from 1 species
UACGAAGGGUGCAAGCGUUACUCGGAAUUACUGGGCGUAAAGCGUGCGUAGGUGGUUUGUUAAGUCUGUUGUGAAAGCCCCGGGCUCAACCUGGGAAUGGCAAUGGAUACUGGCAAGCUAGAGUGCGGUAGAGGGCAGUGGAAUUCCCGGUGUAGCGGUGAAAUGCGUAGAGAUCGGGAGGAACACCAGUGGCGAAGGCGGCUACCUGGACCAGCACUGACACUGAGGCACGAAAGCGUGGGGAGCAAACAGG